CUGAGCUGGGGGCUGCGGGUCCCUUCCUCGCAGCCUCUGUGGGCGCAGCCGCCCCGCAGCCUGCAGCUCCAGCUAAUUGCUGCUCCGGCGUCCUGUGCUAGCAGCGCUGGCCACCACCAGCGCGAGCUGUCCGCGUGCGUUCCGAAUUUUGCUGCCCUCCGGCGGGAACCACUCCCCUCCCGGGAACCCCUUGCUCAUUUGUUUUCCAGUGUAGUUUUCUUUUUCUUUCUUUCUCCCCCCCCUCGCACCAUCCCCUGCACCCCACCCCGGGCCGUGAAAAUAGAGUUUGGAGCCUGGCUUUUGUGUGUGUUUGCGAUUCUCCGCUCCAGGUCCCAGAAGCAGGGAAGAGGGCUGGGGAAAGAGCAGUAGAGGAUGCUCAGGAGAAACUCUCCCCAACAGUAGAUUAUAAACUGAUAGGAGCUGGAGAAAAGGGAGACAUAAUGAGCUGCUUCGUUUCCUCCUCUCCUGCCAGCUUCCAAGGAGGUCUCGGGUUUUAAUGAAUCAUUGAUUUCUCGCUUCCGUUGCUGAAGUAAAAAGUUCACACUUUGGCCCUCUCUGUCUUUUUAAGCUCAGGGAGAUUUAUCGUCUCCCUUAAACAUCGCCUCUCUCUUGGCGUAAAUGAAAUCAGGGACCCAAGUUACUGAUUUCUAAUUGCUAACACGAGUCCUUUACAGAAUCAGGCACGGACUUCAAAGCCUAUGCACUUUCCUGCGAUCGCAGAUUUUAUCACAAAGUUUGACCAAAUCCCCUGCUGCCUGUUUUCUUCUCUACUCAAUUUCCUUUGCAUUUUACCAUAAAGAGGAGGGUCCCUCCCCACAACCUCACAUUUAAUGUUUAAAGGGCUCUAUUUUACAAUGCAGCUUCACUACCUACAAAUCUUCCACUCACACUCUAGUACACACCAACCCCCAACUCUACCAAGGCUCACACAACCUAGCUCUCAACCCAGAAGCAGACAUAAGUCAGUCCAAGACCAGGAAACCGUUGUCCAAAAUCAGAAGGUUCACACACAGAAGGAAACACUGUGAUAAGCCAUUCUUACCUGAGUGUGAUAGAGUUCUGAGUCCCAGAGGAUCACUUCUUUAAGAAAAUAGCUAAACUAGGGAAGGACUGCCUGGAAGGAAUGCAUGAACAUAUAUUACUCUGUUCCAUGAGGCAGUUGGACAUCUGUGUUCUGUCUAAGCAAAACAAAUUGUCAAUACCUUACAGCUUUCCACUUAGGGAAGUGGCAGUAUCACAUGGUUCUCAACCUAAUAGGCAGCAUGAGAUGCAGACAUUUCAAGGUGAACCUGAGAGUUAGACAACUUGCAACAGUGAUUCAGAAAGAAUUUACAAAAGGAGCUUGCACACACAAGCCAGAAAUACUGUCGUGAGCAUUUGGCUUCAGUCUUCAUUUGGGACCUGGGAAAAGAAAAUUAAAAUUUAAAAGCCCUAGAGAUGAGCGCUGUCAACGAUUGGCCAAAUACAUUUUAGUGACUUGUUGAGUGGCUUGAAUGUAUGUUCUUAUAGUUUCCUGUGUGUUUAGUGCCUUUGAAAUGGAACUACUUAAUACCAGAAUCAGGGUUUUAAUUGCAUUAUUUAUAACUCAUUGCAAUGUUUAUUCAAAAGAUUUCAGCAAUGUGACGAACAUCACAGCAGAUUUCUAACUUUAAUAUAAUUAACUGAUUUCUGUAGCUAUUAAUUGAAAAGUUAAGCAAAUAAAGAGCAUGCGUCAAAGAAGUCUUGCUUCUUUAAUUAAAGUAUGGAUAUUGAAAAAUGAGCCCACAGUGCUAAUUUCAAUUUCCGAUUUCACAGUUUUAUACCUGAACAGACAAAUGUGUGAAAGAGUAGAUAAUUUCUAAGGGAUUUAAGUUUCAUCCUCAUAGAAAGAAGAAUUCAAAUGUUUGAAUUGACAACUAAUUGAAACUACAUUUAAAAAAUGUUUGAUGGAACCAUACAAUAAAGAUUCUUUUGUGAAAAAUUAUGAAACACAGGAAGUAAUUAGUUUGGGGUUUCUUUACACUGGGCACCAACACUAUUGAUGCCAACUUGAGUGGUGGUUUUUUUUUUUUUUUUUAAUUCACACCAGACACUCAUUCAACCCAAUAUACCUCUCUCUCUCCUACACACACACACACACACACACACACACACACACACACACACACAACCUUUCUGUUCCAGUAGAAGCUAUUCAGAUCUUCUAGCUAAAAGUUUUACUUGAAUUCUAUCUAAAAUGAGGAGAAAGUCAUUCUCAAAACUGUCCUGUGAAAACUUGCCUGCAGAAGGUGUGGUGUUUGAGAACCCGGGAGUCCCUUUGCCUCUCCUCUGCAGAGCAUUGAUGACAGGGGGACAUUUACUAAACUGCCCAAAGGAGAAGCUGACAUGGCUUUUUAGAUUGUAUCUCCUUCUUCUUUUUCUUUUCUGUACUGCCUUUCUUCCACAGCACAGUAGAACCCUAAGUCCCCACCACUUUGUAUUGUAAAGUCACCUCUCAACUUAGCCUCAGAAAGCCUGAGAAAAGUUCCACAGGAGAGAUGCACUAUUUAACGGAAUCCAAUCUCUCCCAAUAGAUUUGAAUCACUAACAUAAAUGUAUGAAUGUAGAUUAUAUCUCUGUAAUGAGGCCUGAAUCAUUCUCAGUUACUUCAAAGGACUGAAAUUCUACCUUCCUUUUUUUUUAGCUGCAAUAAUCAGGUCUUAAUGGGUUCCUUUAUUAAUUGUUUCUCUGCUCAGAUUGAAAGGACAGUACAAGCUUCAGAUUAGAGCGGUACCUGCUUUUCUAAAGGGCUGCCUGUCUCUUUCAUCCGAUCUCUGGCAGGCAUGCUCUGUUGCUAUGGCCUAAGCAUAUCCAGUGAUAUUAGACUCAAUCUUUAUUGAAAGAAAAGGGAGGUAAACUUCUGUUAAAUGUGAUGAUUUGAAAAGUCACAGACUUUUAAAAGCAAGAUCGUGAGAAGACAGUUAAAGACUUGGAAACUGUGGCACUUUCAUGUAAAGGAGGCAUCAGGAGGGCCUUUUCCCAGACCCUUCAGUCGCUAUUCUCUUUGAGCAGUUUACAUUUGAAACAUGUAUUUCCGAGAUUUUUUGUGUUGCUCAGCGCUGUCUGUGGUUCAGUGACAAGAUGUGUCUUCUGUUAUGUGAGAUGUUAUUGGCAGUGUCAGUAAGCUGCUUCAAAUAAUGCUAAAUCAGGUCAAAAGUCAGCCAGGCUGUUUGACAAUUACAACAUGUGCAGGCCUCAUUUUUUUUUUUUAAAGCCUGUCAUGCAGACACUAGGAGCAUGGGACUGUUUUCCGAUUUGCAUAUAGGAAAUGCUAGUAGGAAGGCUUCCCCUACCCACCUCCUCACUUGUUUCCUUCCAAAGUUACAGCUAGAAAUGAUGGCCACAGUCAAUGAUGUUUGAGCAAGUAGAGUUGGUAGUUUAUAAUUAUUCAUUUCAAAGUAAGAGCUUCAGGUGGAAUAAAAAAAACAUUUUUACCUUAUACAGAGUAGGAGAGCAGCACUUAAAAGUUGGUAGGAGGCAUGGUCUGAGGGGUUGAUCACCCUCAUUGAAAUGAACAAGGACAGAAGGGCUUCAGAUCUGUUGAAGUGUUUAAACAUUUGCAUAUGCACUGAGAGGUAGCGUCCAGGCUGAAUGUAAGCCAAGGAGUGAAAUUCACGUUUCAAUUAUAUUCAUACAGACAGUCUAAAGGUACACUCAUUUGAUAUUUUAGGGAUCUGGGGAAGUGGCUCAGCGUCUAACAGCACUUUUCAUGUAAGCACGAGGACCCGAGUUUGACUCCCUGGACCUGCACACACAGGAAAAGACAAGCAUUGCUCUGGACACCUGUAAUCCUCAUGCUGUGGCUGUAGAAAAAGGAGCAUCGCUGAGGCUUGCUGGCCAAGGGAAUCAGGUAGAGAGGGUUCGAGACAACAGCACAAAGUCCUUCCCCAGCCUACAUACAGCUCACUCUACACUACAUAUACACAGCCCACUCAUGUAGUCAGACACAAACACACGUAUACCAGAUUUAGUUAGUUAGUUAGUUUAGUUGUGUGCCUGUUUCGGUUGCAACAUAGAUUUUGAGGUCAGAUGUGCAAUUUUCCUUUGGUGGUGUCAUGGUGACUCUCACAAAGUUUGGAUGAUUGAAAUAUCUGUUUGGACUUUUGGUUUCUGAAGUAAAGAUGGUCAGCCUGAAACUGAAUUAUGACUCUUGCAUUUUAUAGACUGAUUGAAGUCACUCCGUGAUAGAUUAGUUAGGAGUGACAACAACAGGCCUUCCAUGUGACCCUAGGUUUCGCCACACCCAACUACCUGUUUUCUUUUUCUUCCUCCUCUCUCUGUUUUUCUCCUUAUCAUCCUCUACUCACUCUAAUAUGUCUGAGUUGCCAGAAUGGAAGAGAUAAGAAAGAUUAGAAGGCUUUAGUUAUGGAAAACCAGCAUAUCUUUGUUGCAAUUGAUUAGCCAGAGAAAAGCAAUAAAAUAGCUUAGUGUUGAAUUAUUAACUAUCAGUUGAUUAGACAAAAUAAGUGUUUUUGUGGUUUGGGUAAAGCAGAUUCUUAAAUGAAAUGAACACAUUUGAAAGUAACUUAUACUACAAAUUUUCAGGAUAUUCACAAGAUAUUUGGAAUUUAAUAAGCAUUUUUAAGUUGCUUCCCCAAGCAAUUGAUAUCAUUUAGAAAAGUAAUCUAUUAAUUCUGAUUCAAUUCUCUAUGCCAUCAUGUUAAAUUUUCCUGAAACAAUAUGGUACUUUAAAGCAUAGACAUUUAUAUAUAUAUAUAUUUUAAGUUUGAAACUAAGGUGAACGUUCUGUUCUCUUAUUUUCAAAGAUCCAAUAAUCUCCUAUUGAAAAUGAAAUAAGGCUAAGAUAGAAACAUAAAGGAUCUUUUGUAAGAAAAAUAUCUAUAUUGGAAUGUUUGAAAUGUACUCACACUAAAUCAGCGCAAUUCCAGAAAGCUGAACUCUGCAUCUUGAAACCAAACACAGGGAACAUAUUUUCCCAAAGCUGCUGUUCGUCCCCUCCCUGCUUCUGGCAGACAGAGCCUUUCCUUGACAAAGUUGUGAAGUCUCCGAAGAGCUCUGCUCCAUGCCUCCAGCUGCCCCUGUGCAGAUUUGUGUCUCCUGCCAAGCCAAGCCCUCUGGUUUCUUAGUUGUGUGACAUUUGUCGAUGUUUUGUUUGGAAAUUACAAUAUUUUCCUUAUAAUUUUGGUUCUUUGGCAUAGGGAUAUUUACAGCCUGGUCAUUUUUUUUUUCCAUACAUUUUCUUUUUUUUUUUUAUUCGAGUGAUGUUUAUUGAGUAUCUACUCUGUGCUAGUAGUCCAUUAUCAGUAUUUUGGGUCUAAUGAAGAUAGGGCAGUUUAACUCUUAAAGAGUAUGCAUGUAUCUGUACAGGAGUGAACCUAUGACUUCUGUCUUCGUCAUUAGGGAUAGGAAAGCUAGGUUGUCUCAGACCUAGAAAGCAUGUGAAGAGAUUUCAAUCCUGACAAUUAUUUAUGUUGUCUUUCUCUUCAAAAGAGCUAAGGGAAACUGUGGCUUCUGCUCUCUGGCUUCAUGAAGGAUUAAGGUUUGGUCAUCUCCUCUGUGGUUAUGGCACAACCCUUUGCUCUAGAUUUCUCCUACAGGCUUAGGACGUGAAAAAAAAUCUCUGCCAGCUAACCCUGAUGGUCUCUCUUUUGUUUCUUUUUCCAGAAUUGUGGAUAGAUAGUAUAUAUGUUGUAAAUGAUUAUGUUAACUAUUUUCUGAUAAAAAAUUCCCUAACCCAUCUGCUGUACUUUCUAAUUUUGGUGAGAUUUAUUUAUCAUUCUUUAUUUAUUUGUGUUGCAUGAGAAAGCAUCUUCCUUGAAUAUACAUGUGUGUAGGAACCAGUAUUCCUUGGAGAUGGAGUUACAGGCAGUCGUGAGUGACCGUGAGAGGGCUGAAAACUGAACCGAACCCCCUGUAAGAGCAAUCAAUAGGUGUUCUGACCACUGAGCUAUCUCUCCAGUCCCAUGUGUCUACUAUUAAAACAUACAUCUUACCAAAUUCAAUUUGACCUAGUACCCAUUCCAAAUUGGACAAGUUUUCCCCUAUUCAAAGAAUCAGAAACAGAAAAAUGUGCACUCUGUGAAUUAGUGAUAACCAAACAGUUCUUGUGUUGUAGGAAAUGCAAUCCUGUUGUGCUCAGUUUUCUUGGAUUAUCCCUGGGAAUCCAUUCUCUUCCCUUCUCUGCCCAGCUCUGGGCUGACAUCUGUACCUCUCCAGUGUUCCUCGGACAGGUAACUUGCAUUUGGUUUUGUCCGGUAGACAAGCCCACACAGAGAAAAGCUCACGGUAUUUCUUCCCAUAUUUGUUUCGUUUUGUUUCAGUGCCAUGACUCCGACAGGAGGUGCAUCCUUCCAGAUUUCCACCUUCUCUUCAAAGGACUCUUCCUCAAGAUGUCCAGCAAUUCCUGGAGUCCCUAGGACAUUAUUUCCGUCUCUUGCUAUUGAAGCUCAAGGAGUUGUAUGGUUACCCUUCAUUUCUGGCUUGUCAGGAUCAUUCUUUGUUGUUCCUUCAAUUGUGCGACAUCUCUGCCAAGAUUCAACUGCAAGCUGUAGACUUGAAAAGACAGGACUUCCUGUUGUCCUCCAGCCCCUACUUUACAGGUUAAACAAAGAUAAGCAAACAGAAAGGAUUUCAGCUUCCACAAAACCAAGGACAAAAUCCACUUCUGUGAUAGCAGAAGGUCUUUCCAGACUCUGAAGCAGUCAGGAAGGAAAGUGGACGAACUUCAUCGAACAUGAUAUCCAACAUGAAGUGGAUGAAUAAUAGCUCUGAGAAUCCUAGGAAAUGAUCAACAUCACUGCACCAGUCAAUCAACUGUGUGACUGGUGGUCAGAAGCAGUGAUGGAGACUGAAAGGUGUAACAUGGCAGCCACUGGACCAAAUGAAGCUGCUUGACUGGUAACGUAUCGGGUGGGUUUGGUGCUUCAGUUUCAUUUUCAACAGUUUGGGGUAUUUAGGGUCGGUAGCUACUUGUGAUUUCACCAUAGUACUUGCUUCUUUCUGUUCUUGCUCUGCUGCAAAUACUACAAAUACAAAUUAGUAUUCUCCUAUCUGUCCUGAUAGUCCUUGAGAUAAUGAUUUCUGAAUUCUAGACUGUAAAAUACUAUCAUUAAACAUGUGUUACGACUCCAGGUGGAGAGGAUAAGGGUAAAGACAUGAAUACUGGAGAAUACACUUGGCAGUUCAGGCAUUGCACAUCCCAAUCUGCCAAGUGUUUAGCAAAACAUUGAUUCUAAGAGUUUCAGAAGAAUAUGAAAUAAUUUCAUUGUUUUUCCUUCUCCUCCUCCUCCUCCCCUCCUCCUCUCCUCCCCCUCCUCCUUCUCAAGGGUUAAAAGAGGAGACAGAAUAAUGUAAUGGUUUAACUGUGUUCAAAUGUAUAUGCUGAAAGAAUAUUCAUGCCAAUAUGUAUGUACUGUAUUAGUUUAUAAUAUCUUAGCUUUUUAUUUGAUGUUUCUAAGUUAUUAUGAAGGUCUGAAAUUCUGUCCCCACUUCAAAUAUAUCUAUGUUCACCAUUUUUGAAAUUUAAUGAGAAAGAAUAGUUUUGACUUUAUAGUCCUAAUACCUUCUUUAAAUGCUCUCUAGUAACAAUGACCAGGGAACUUAGGUAAUUAUUUGAUUUGAGUAAUGAUGUCAUUUACAUUUUAUUGCUAAGGUUUUGUUUAAAUAACUUUUAGCUUUGAGUCUUACAUUUUGUUGAGAUAAUAGAAGUAUAAAAGAUGGAAAAUCCAUCUCCAGUUUCAGUUUGCAAACUUCAAAAGAAUUACUACCACAUCAAGAAUUUGAGAAACUAAGCACUGUGUGGAUAUCUCUGCUGCACUGAACAAUUGUCAUAGAUUUUCUUUUCUAGGCUUAAGCUGAUUCAAGCAAUAAAAAUUGUUAUGGAUUGCUACUUAAUGACCUAUUUUAUUAGUUCAUCCUUCUAUCUCAUGAGCCAUCCAUUCCAUCCAACUAUCAUUUCCCUGGGGCAGGGGGAGGAGAAAUCUAUGAUUUAAAACACCAUUAUCUUACAAGUAAGUAUUUCAAGUGAAUUUAAUUAAAAUGUAAGAGAUUAAAUAUAAUUUAAUCUUAUUCAGGGCAAACAUUUUCAGUGGUGUUCUACUUUGUUUCAUUUAUUAUUUUUUGAGAAUUUAAUAAAUGUAUAUAAUGUAUUUUGAUCAUAUAUACCCCCUACUUCCCAAGCAAAAUAAAUGCUUAAAUGAAUACAAGAAAGGUCAUGGUUUUAUGAUGAAGGAGGGAGUAUUGUGUGUUCCAAAACAAGACUGUGUCUGUUACUAGUUUAUUCCCAAUCCAUUAUGUAAAUUAAGUCUAACCGAGUUGUGUUUAAAUAAAAUUGCCUUUGUUAAUUCUAUUGUCUAAGCAAAAAUACACUUUUUAGGCAUAUAUGAUUAUAAGUCUUUCUGCUUAAAGUUUAAUGGGACUGAGGAACACUGAUAAAAUGGCUUAAUGUGAAAAAAUAUAAAAUCUUGGAUAUUGAAAAAGUUCGUGGUUUUUUUCAUUUGAGCAUUUGCUGCCAUUUAGUAAAUUCUAUGGGGAAAAAAAAACCUUUCCAAGCUUCAAAAAGGACUGGAUCCCCUGCAGCUGGAGCUACAGGCAGUUGUGACCCAUCCAACAUGGGUGCUGUGAACACAACUUGGGUCUUAUGUUAGAGAAGUAUGCUAUCCUUACUCCCUGAGCCAUUAUACUAACCUUUAGAUAAUACCUUUUUAACUAAGCAUUGUUUGCCGAGGAUUUGUGUAUCACAACCAGCCUUGAGUCAGACUGAUACAUGUUUGUUGCAAUGUUUGUAAUAUUGAAACAAGUUUGUAGUAACUUGGUACCAGCAGCUAUUGUUACAGCAACAGUUUAUUUUGAUGAUAGUGGUGGUUAUUCGUAGAGUCUCAUCCUUGUUAUGGUAUUAGAAGAAGUGUUUAUCAACUUUUAGAAACAUAUUUUGAUGGUAACUUCAAGUAAUCCACUUUGUACUGUGUUAAAUUCUUUUACCUUUGAGGCAUAUACCUCAUUUAGUGCAGGGAGAAGGGACAAACAGACCAGUCUUCCUUUGGAAAGAUUUAAAUUGUCCCGAAAUUUGGUGAGCUGGGCAUCUGAGCUCAAUGGAGAGCAGGACCAACUUUGCUUUGUGUUGCUAAUGGUACUGAGUGUUGUGGCUGCAAUUCUUAAUAUCUGGUUCGUUCCUAGAACUAUUGUUGGCAAAAGUCCUAUUGAUGGUGUUUCAUUCCAAACCAAAAGUGCAGGGAAUUCCUGAAGGGUUCUUUUUCUGCUGUUGUUUGAUAAUCCAUAUAGAAGGAGUCAUUUCAAUUCUGGGGCAUGUUGCUUGGCUCUUCAUUAAAUGCGUGCUGUUUCGUUUUGUAACCAGUGCCUUCCUUUCAUUGUUAAGAGUCUCUUAAAUGCUAUCAUCAGGUUCUGGAACUUCAUAAUUCUCUUGGCCUCCACAGCUAUUAUACCCCUAUCAAAACAACAACAACAACAAAAAUACAUAAUUCAGUAACUGGCAAAUAGAUCCAUGCAAAAUUUAGUUAUUUACUUAUGUUUGAAUAUAUUAUUAGUAAUAAGUAGACUACAUUCCAUUUUAGGGUAUCAUUAUGUUGUAAAUAUUAAUGUAUAAGAUAUGACUCAGUCAAAGUUAUUAGAGUUGGAGGUACAACUUAUAGAUGAAAGGAUGUUCCCCUGCUAAGAUUCUUCUGAAUGUUUGGCUCCAAACUACAUCAGAUUUAUCUGUUUAAUCAUGAUGCACAUUGAUUAGCAAUUUUUUUGAGUUUUACUAAUGUUAAAAUGGAUAAUUGAAGGCUCAUAGUAGAGUGUCUUCUGUUUAGAACAUUAUUUAAAAUGUAUUCAAUCUGUUUGGGAUUACAAAAACAUUUCUAAAGUACAGCUAUAUGUAUUCAAAUUUCCUUAAGCUGGAAGUUAUUUUUAAAGUAUAUGAAUAAACACUGACCAUUACAAUCUAAAUGAAUACACCUUUUCAUCUCAUUGCAAAUUAUUACUAAUAAUUAAACUCAUUUACAUAAUGUGUCCCUAUAUUGGCUGUCCCUUUUCAGCAAGCAGAAUUCAUAGAAAAACAAGUAACCAAACACCUGGCGGGUAAAGCAUGCUAACUCAGAGGACACAGUGUAUCAGAUUCCCAGCAUGGCAACAGUGCUCUUCAGCAGAUGACAAGGCUUUCCUCGGGCAUAUUUCCAGUUACAAAGUGAUGUGCCAGAAUAUAAAGAAAUAAGAUUGCUGGGUGCUCAUUUCUGGAAAGUGACUAUGAUCUUUAUUAUGUUUGUAAACUCAUUUCAGUAUUUUGAAGCUAUAAUAAAGCAAAACUAUAUUAA